rnacentral:rRNA from 1 species
CAUCUGCGGUUAAUCUGUUUUCUUUGCUUUUAUGUGGAUAGUGCGUAUUUAUUUAUGUUCAAUGUUAGGUUAAAUUUUUUUGUGUUAGUGUUUAGUAAGUAAAUUUUGUGGUGAUAUAUGUUAUGACAGGGAUUAGAUACCCCAUUAAUGUAUUUUUAAAAUGUUGUCCUGGUUUUGUAACUAAAAUGGUUUGGCAGUGAGCGAUUCUUGUUAGGGGAAGAUGCAUAGUAAAGGAUGGUCCACCUAUUAUUUUGCUCUUGUUAUGUUGGUGUAUAUCUGGUUUGAUAUUAUCGUUUAAUGGUUUGAGUUUGUGUAGUUUUAGUUAAGCCAAGUCUAUGUGCUGCUUAUAGGAGUUUUUGUGUGUUACAUUAAUAAGGGUGUUAUUGUAAUAUGAUAUUAUUUAGGACUUAAUAGUAAUGUUUAAAUAAGUUUGUUGAUGUGAAAUAGGUUUAGCUCAGGUACA